UACGGAGGGUGCAAGCGUUGUCCGGAUUUAUUGGGUUUAAAGGGUGCGUAGGCGGCCAAAUAAGUCGGAGGUGAAACCCACAGGCUUAACCUGUGGAGUGCCUUCGAUACUGUAUGGCUUGGGUUAUCUCUAGGCGGGCGGAAUGGAAGGUGUAGCGGUGAAAUGCAUAGAUAUCUACCAGAACGCCGAUAGCGAAGGCAGCUCGCUGGGGAUAUACCGACGCUGAGGCACGAUAGCGUGGGGAUCAAACAGG
rnacentral:rRNA from 1 species